rnacentral:sRNA from 1 species
AAAUCUUUUUUUUUUAAAAAAACUAAACAACAACAACAAAAUUCUGGGUCAGGCUGGCAAACUGGCUCAGUGGGCCAAGGUGCUUGCUGCCAAGCCUGAUGACCUGAGUUCAAUCCCAGGACCCACAUGGUGGAAAGAGAAAACUGACCACCACAAGUUGUCCUCUGACCUCCACAUGUAUGUAGUAGCAUGUGUAUGCCCAACACAAAGAAAAGCAAAAACAAAAAAAUUCUGGGUCCCCUCAGCUCACAGAACCUGACCUCAGAGGUGUGAUGACAUUUAAGACACUCCCAAGAGUAGUCCCAACACCCGUCUGACCCCAAAGCUAUUACCACUCCCACAGAUGUCAAAGCCCCAAGAGUCCGGCCCAGCACAUGCCCUGCCUCCUUCUGCAGAGCCUGGGCUGUGAGGACAAGGUCCAGUCCCCAGCCACUCCUAGGCCACAGGAUCAGAUGCAUGCUGCAUGCGCAUGUCUGGCUGCCACAAAGAGCCCUACUUCCUCCCCCGACCCCCACCGUCGGGACCCUUGACUUCUGCAAGAGCCCUGCUGAUUUUUGGUGACUCAAAGGCUCUGGAACCUUGCUAUAAAAAUACCACCAAGGAGGAGGGCUGGGGUCUCCUCCUGGACACAGUCUCUGCCUCCAACUCAAGCUGAACCUUCACCUUUUCUUUUUUUUUUUUUUUUUUUGGUUCUUUUUUUCAGAGCUGGGGACCGAACUCAGGGCCUUGCGCUUCCUAGGCAAGUGCUCUACCACUGAGCUAAAUCCCCAACCCCCACCUUUUCUACAGAACAGGAAAGCCCCGGAUGGCGGGGAGCUCAGAAUCAGCUUGUCACCCUGAUAUUCAAUCCCUGUUCCACCUCACGGAGUGUGGAACUAGGCCAGGCACACAUGCUCCCGGUGAAAAGCAACACUGUAGGACUCACAGUUGCCCAGCAGGGCCAGGAGCCCAGGUACCCAGCCUGCACUGCCUGUCAGGGAGGAGAGCCAGGCAACACUGGUCCCCAUAGACGAGGAGGACUCAGCAGUCUGACCUCCUCGGAGACCAAGGGUCUGGUGACUUCCUGAUCGUACAGGCCAUUAAGCCGGUAGCCAAAGGCUGGCUGGGCAGUGGGCCAGGCCUGGUCAGAGGGCACUUCCGGCCUCGCUGCGGGUGGGGAUGGGCGGAAGGCAGAGCAAGUGUGAUCCAACAAGGCAAGGGAGUCCAGGGGUUGGCAGGCCUGGGGGCUGGGGGCUGAGGGCAGGAUCUGGGCCUGGCCACCUGCCAAACACCCCCAUUUCCAGUUGAGUUCCACACAACUCGGGAGGCAGCGAUGAGGCCCUGAGGAGCUGUACAGCGUCUGGCACUGCUGGGGGGAAAGCCGGAAAAAUGAAUCUCCCCUAAGACAUGUUAAAAAAGAUUCUCACCCAUUCCUUCCCUUUUACCCCAAGCCUUCGGGGAUCUAAAUAUGUCACACUUUGUGAUUUUACGAGCAAGCCAAGCUGUACAUCACGGUUUUACGUUCCUAAAUUAACAAAAGGACCUUAAAUCUGUAUGGGGCUCUUAAAAAGGAAGAAAGAACAUGAUAUCUGAAUUAUCCCUUCAUUCAACUCCCGUCUUCCCUCCUAUGGCAUGGCCCCUGGUGAGUCCACCUCAGUCCAUGGACCACCCACAAGGGAAAAGUCCCCAUGCACUAAGCCCUUCCUCUGGUCAUCACCCAUAGGUGUUACCAUUCAUUUCUCUGAGGAAAGGUCAGUCACUUCAGGGUCUGGAGUGUAGUGUUUGCCUAGCAUCUUCGAGGCCCUGCGAACCAUCUCUAGACAGACAGACAGACAGACAGACAGACAGACACACACACACACACACACACACACACACACACACACACUAUGACUACUAGGGACUCUGCAAAGUGUAUUUCGAGGCAGGCCGGAAGCAGCUGACUAUAAACACAGCACUCAGGACAGUGAAAAGCUUUGGCCACCCUGAGGUGCAGAGUAAGUUCAAAUCCACCCUCAGCUACUUAGCAAGCCUUUGUCCCAAAGCUUUAAAAAAAGAGAGGGGGUGGGGGAGCGGGCUGGAGAAAUGGCUCAGCGGUUAAGAGAACUGACUGCUUUUCCAGAGGUCCUGAGUUCAAAUCCCAGCAACCACAUGGUGACUCACAGCUGCCUGUAAUGGGAUCGCGAUGCCCUCUCUCAUCCUGUGGGUCUGAAGACAGCUACAGUGUACUCAUAUACAUUUAAUAAAUAAGUAAUUUUUUAAAAAAGGAUAAAAGGAGGGCUGGGUAGAGCACUUGCCUGGUGUGUUCGAGACUCUGGGUUCAAGCCCCAGUGUGGCCAAAAAAGAACACCCUACUUGGUCCUUCCUAAAGAGUGACUGUGGGAGCACCAACCUUGCGCAGAGCCAGUCCCCCAGGAAACUGGAAGGCGCAGGCCUGAGAGCCUUCCUGGCAAGUGUCCUCGGCUGCAUAUAUAAAUAGAGCUUACUGGACCCUGGCACUUCACCCAUGUCAAAGGCAGACAGGCACUCGGAGUAAAUGCUACAGAGGCAGAGACCCUCUGGCCCCUGGCUGGCUCUGCCAGGGAUGAUCUGUCUGGCUAGGCUCUCCCACUGGCCAUCUUCCUCUAGAGAGGAAGUACAGUCUCCCUCCUCCCCCUCUUCCUCCUCCUCUUCCUCCUCUUCCUCCUCUUCUUCCUCUUCCUCCUCCAGGCAGAACCCAGUGCCCUCCAGACAUUUGCUUGCACAGCAGGAAGAGUGAAGAAGAAGUCAGAGGAAGGGGCAGAUCGAUUCCCACCCAUGGCAUUGCAGAGACACCGAAGCCAGAGGGAACCCUAAUGACCAUCUAUCUCACUGAGCAGCGGUGAGAGCCAGACCAGGCCCUAGUGAGAGGGCCUGACCUCAUCCAGAGGGGCCGAGUCACAGCUGAGACAAAAGGGCCCCUGGCUUUCCCAGUCUUCACAGAUCCAAAUGUGGUAGUCCCUCCCCAGUUCUCAGGGGUGUCUGAGAUUAAUUAGUGACCGCCCUGAAAAUGCUAGCUGUGAGCCCGGUGCAGUCCCCACUGUGUCUGAGCUGUAAGUAAGAAGGUCUCUCUGUCACUGCAAAAAUGGACAAACCUUCUUCGCAGACUUAGCCUGGCCCAAGAGCAGGUCUCCAGUGUUUCCUUAGGAUCUCACGGGCGAGGGUGUAACUGGCAAGGGAGGCCUGUAUACACACCCCCCCCCCCAAGACGUGCUGGGCACAGUCCACAUCUAGCCUUGUACGCAGGCUAGAACACUCCAGAGAGCAAUCUUUGGAAACCUCCAUCCUUCCACUACCCCGACUUUAUGCAGAGUAAGCUAGGGUUGGCUCAGAAAGGCAUCGGGUCAGCCCGGUCACCUAUCUCUGAAUGACUCACUAUGACCUCAGGGGGCAGCUUUGGGCACAGAAGAUGUCCCAACAGAGAUAAGGCUAAGUACCGCCACUAGCCAUGGCCCUCUCAGGACCCAGUCCCUUGAUGGCAGGUCUCAGAGCAUCCUUCCUGGCUAAGGACAGGGAAUCCAGGGGGAGGUGGGGUCACCAAGAGUUCAGCUAGAGGCCAGGGCAGGGUCAGCCAACAGUCAGGAACAAGAUAAGGGGCCCCAGGAGGGCGCCACUGCCAAUACCAGCCGCCAUCCCUCCCUGACCGGUCAACAAAUAUUUAUUAAGCAGAGACUCUGGAGCCAGACUGCCUGGGGUCAGGGGUCAGGGCCCAGCUGAGCCUUUUGCUGCUCCUUUUGCUGCUCCAGUGACCUCAGCUUCCCUGGUGCCUCAGUUUCCUCUGCUGUCAAGUGGGGCAAGCACAGCCUGACCACCCAGCGCCGUCCGUCAAAUUAGCAAGUCUGGCGUGGAACAAGCCGUAUGUGAAGUGGCCACAGCCUCUUCCUUAUUUUAUUAUCCUUUUUAUUUUUACGACUGUCGUUAUUGGUCUGGCAGGAGGCCAAGCAAAAAGGAGACACUCAGUCUACGCCUGCACGGAUCACAAAGUCCUGUGGAGUUCAGGGACGGGGGUAUCCAGUAAGUCGUGCACGCAGAGGAAAGCUAGAUAGGGGACCCCAGAGAAAGGAUACCAUCUGUCACCGGCAGGAAGAUGGAGGGCACAGGAUCCUGUGCCCGCAGCCUGCACCUUCCUCUCUCUGCAUGGGAAGCUGAUUGACCCUCUAGCCAGUGAAUCGCUUAUCACUAUAAAGUCAGCCAGACCAGCCCAAAGCACCAAGUUCAAGUCCCUGACCUGCCACUAAGUUCUAUGAGUUUCUGCAAAAGGUUUCAUCCUUGUUACAGUGUUCCAUUAAGCUAUAUAUUUCUAAUAUACUUUACCCCUUGAUAGUUACCCCUGAGUGAGUAGACAUUAACUCUACACCCUAACACCUAAGGGGUGGGAUGGAGGAAAGUGCACAGGAAGUUUGAGGCUAGCCUGGGUCACACAGCAAGUUUCGGGUCAGCCCAGGCUACAUGAGACUCUCAAACACAAAACAAACCACACUUCAUCCCCAAAAUCUUCUCCCUCAUAGGCUCCUCAAACCAAAGUCGGACAAUUAGUGGAGCAGGAUAUCUUAGGCCUGGUCAGUUAGCCUGGGCUCCAUGACUACUGCAGAAGCUAUGUGGUCAGAGAACCUUCAGGGACUCCAUGAGAGUGCAGGCGUACUUCAUGCCAACAGAGCCUUAAUACUGUAGGACUCUGAAUCUUAGGAACACAGCACUGCACUGUGGUUCCAAGUCACAGAGGGGAAAACUGAGGACUUCCAGGAACUUUCCUUACCUGCCAAAGUUCAGGCUGGGAACAGGCAGAAUUGGACUUCAAACCUGUUGUCCAGUGUGGCAAGAGAAGACAGAAUCUAGGGCCAACCCAACUGUGGCCACCCUCCCUGUCCCCCACAGUAGCUGGUGGGUAGGUUCUGGACCCUGCCUCCUGGUGAUCUGCUAUAGCCACCUUGAUGGGACCAGAUCUUGAGGGCAGAAUCCAGGGCUCAGAGGCUUGGGAUAGAACCUAGAACUCAAGUGUCCAGGUCCGUAGGGGCCAAGGCUCUGGCUCUCAACUAAAGCUAACUGACCACAGCCAACCAGACACGUACUGUUCUCAGGCCUGGAAAUCCCCUCUUGAAGUGGCUGACAGCUGAUCCCAGACCUGACACUUCCAGAAUGGCAAUGGCUGAGUCUCUUGGGCAGAUUGGUCAGCAGGGUGACAUAUCAGUCCCCACCCCAUGGGGUGUGUGGGAGAGUCCCCAAACCAUCUACAGCUCAGGGUGCAUCUGAGCUCCAAUCCUACCCUAAACUCACAGGGUGGAAACCCUGGCAGAGACCUUCAAAAAAUAAAACUUCAGUAAGAGAAAACCCUUCAUCCAGUGGCUAAUUUAUCUGAGCCCUCCUCCCUGGGGAGGAGAGCCAAGCCCUCCCCUCCCUGAAGGAUCAGGAAAAGCAGGAUUCACCUUGCUGACAACAGCCUGCCUAGGGCCUAAUCCCAGCCAAGGCUGAUUCUUUUAAUUGCUUUGAACUUCCCAGUCUGACACUUCCUCCUUCUCCUUCUGAGACUCCUUGCGUAAAUAAAGAGUCGGUCACCUGACAAGCUAAUAUACCAGACGGCCCUUGGAUGGCAGGUGGAGUGGGGUGCUCUUUUGAGCCGCCCAGUACUUACAGAGAUUCCUCUCACAACACUAGCUAGCUCCAAGGCCCCAGAGAGGCGCUGCAAAUACAAAAAGAAAGUACUCUAUUUGCUCUCCUCAGCAAGCUAACGGGAUACACCGGCGGAAUCAAUCUGUGGCACAGCUGGGAAGGGGCUGCCACAAACACCUUCCCAUGGGGAGAGGUGGCUGAGCAGCAUAGGACACCUGCCUCCUGCUGAGAUGACCCUGUUGGAAGCUGGGGAUUCCUGGCUCUAAUUUUAGUUAGACCUCUGGAAGGAAGUACCGAAGUGAACAGAGGAACGGGAGAGUCCAGCUAGAGGUUUGACAAUUGCUAUUUCAGGUCCCAGAGGAGAGGGAGACACGUGAGUGGCUGAGAGAUAAUCUUCCAAUAAAAACAGCCCGGGGCCAGGCCCUGUGGCACACACCUUUUAUCCCAGCACUUUGGUGGACGUGAGGCUGAGGCAGGGGAAUCUAUGAGUUCCAGGCCAGCUAGCGUUGUAUCGGGAGACCCUGUCUCAACAUAAACAACUGUAAGGGCUGGACACCCCAGGAACAGAACAGGCUUGUCAUCGGACACAGAAGCAUCCACAAAGGAAAACCCAGGGCCACCUACAACCGUCCUGCAGGCGAAAUUGCCUCCAUUACCCCUUCUUCCUUGUGACCCUUCGUCUCUGCUAUAUUAACUCAGUUACAACGUGUGCCCUAGGUUAGGACGACGAAGGCCAGCUCCCUGCAGCUUAGUCCUGCCCAGGCUAGUUCUUGGCCCACAUCUCCUUCUGUGGACUCCAGGGCGGUAGGAACCUGGCAAGAGUCACAGGAUCCAUACAGCACACAAGGAAAGAAAAAGGCAAUGUUAACCCAACAUCCAGCCACGUGCACGUUUCCUAGCAAAACUAUUCACAAAUUAUCUGCAGAAAACAGCAGACCAUGUCAUGCACGAGGGCCACCCCUCUGCUUCUUUAGCACCCCAACAUUUCUGCACCCCACAGACGCCUCAACUUCAAUAGAAACUAUGUGUCAGGGCUCAGAGAAAGAAUAAAAACCCAGCACAUUCUUAGAAGAAGCGGCCACACGCAGCCCAGCCCUCCCGACCUGAGGUCACGUGCAGUCGGACCCCGGGGUACCCGAGGGGGAAGCCACGGGGAGGGCCGGGUUCCCACGCCCGCCUGCUCGCUCCGAGCUCUCUAGCUUCCCUCGCGCCCGCGCGCAAGCAUCUUAAGGGUGGAGGGGCUCCCCAGCUCUCCCGCGGUGGCCCCCGAAACUGAAAGUUGCAGGGCAGAGGCUGUCAGCGCGCACCGAGGCGCAGGAAACAGGAAGCCCAGCGCACUGCGGCCGCGGCCCCUCCGGGCCUCGCACAACAAAACCUUCCAGGGAAUCGGGAGAGGGGGCAGUGGGGCCGGGCCCCCCCGGUCGCCGCCCGCGGGAAAGUAACUUCACACCCGCGCGAUCGCGCCCGGGGCGCAGCGCCGCCGGCUCCGCGCAGACAAAAGGAGCGAGACGCGCACGGGGCCGGGCGCCCCACGCGGCAGCGCGCACUGAGCGGGCAGCCGAGCAGCGCGCCCCUGUGCGCCCCUACGCGCCCUGGUCUUGGGACCCGAGGACCUGGCGCACGACUUGCUUACCUGAUGAUCAAAGGCUGCCUUUCCGUCCAGCGCCCGGGCAGGUUCGGCCACCUCGGCCAGAGCAGAUCCACAGUGAGGUAAUUGACCAAGGAAGGGCCGGAGCCUCCACGGCGGCCCGGCGUCUUCGCCGCGUGUGUAUUUUCUGCCUUUUGGACUUGAGAUGC